rnacentral:rRNA from 1 species
UACAGAGGAGCCAAGCGUUGUCCGGAUUGACUGGGCGUAAAGCGCACGCAGGCGGAUGCGCGCGUGGGGUGUGAAAUCUGGCCGCUUAACGGCCAGGCGCCAUCCCAUACGGCGCGUCUGGAGUGAUGCAGAGGUCGAUGGAAUUGCCGGUGUAGUGGUGAAAUGCGUAGAGAUCGGCAGGAACACCCAGGGGAAACCAGCCGCCUGGGCAAGCGGCUGACGCUGAGGUGCGAGAGCGUGGGGAGCGA